rnacentral:tRNA from 1 species
GGGAAGGUGGCUCAGUGGUAGAGCGCUUGCCUUGCACGCCUGAGGCCCUGGGUUCGAUUCCUCAGCCCCA